rnacentral:rRNA from 1 species
GCUAUACAUGCAGUCGAGCGGACAGAUGGGAGCUUGCUCCCUGAUGUUAGCGGCGGACGGGUGAGUAACACGUGGGUAACCUGCCUGUAAGACUGGGAUAACUCCGGGAAACCGGGGCUAAUACCGGAUGGUUGUUUGAACCGCAUGGUUCAGACAUAAAAGGUGGCUUCGGCUACCACUUACAGAUGGACCCGCGGCGCAUUAGCUAGUUGGUGAGGUAACGGCUCACCAAGGCGACGAUGCGUAGCCGACCUGAGAGGGUGAUCGGCCACACUGGGACUGAGACACGGCCCAGACUCCUACGGGAGGCAGCAGUAGGGAAUCUUCCGCAAUGGACGAAAGUCUGACGGAGCAACGCCGCGUGAGUGAUGAAGGUUUUCGGAUCGUAAAGCUCUGUUGUUAGGGAAGAACAAGUGCCGUUCAAAUAGGGCGGCACCUUGACGGUACCUAACCAGAAAGCCACGGCUAACUACGUGCCAGCAGCCGCGGUAAUACGUAGGUGGCAAGCGUUGUCCGGAAUUAUUGGGCGUAAAGGGCUCGCAGGCGGUUUCUUAAGUCUGAUGUGAAAGCCCCCGGCUCAACCGGGGAGGGUCAUUGGAAACUGGGGAACUUGAGUGCAGAAGAGGAGAGUGGAAUUCCACGUGUAGCGGUGAAAUGCGUAGAGAUGUGGAGGAACACCAGUGGCGAAGGCGACUCUCUGGUCUGUAACUGACGCUGAGGAGCGAAAGCGUGGGGAGCGAACAGGAUUAGA